rnacentral:rRNA from 1 species
UACGGAGGGAGCUAGCGUUGUUCGGAAUUACUGGGCGUAAAGCGCACGUAGGCGGCUUUGUAAGUUAGAGGUGAAAUCCUGGAGCUCAACUCCAGAACUGCCUUUGAUACUGGCAAUCUCGAGUCCGGGAGAGGUGAGUGGAACUGCGAGUGUAGAGGUGAAAUUCGUAGAUAUUCGCAAGAACACCAGUGGCGAAGGCGGCUCACUGGCCCGGUAUUGACGCUGAGGUGCGAAAGCGUGGGGAGCAAACAGG